UUUCCGAAUUUAUAGACCUAAACUUUUUUAUUCAUACUUUCUUAUUAAGGAGUAGAUUACUCGAAACUUACAUUUAGAAAAGUCCUAAUUAUGGACUACUUGAAUUGAUAAUUAAACUAUUUUCUUUAAAACGCCUUCAAAUUUUUAGAAACGAUAAAAAACCAUCAUUUAUUCCAGCAUUUUGCUGUAAAUAGCUACAUAAAUAUAAAGGCUCAAAGUUCGGCGUUAUUGCUCUCGGUUCCAAGCAUAGAUAGUAUCAUCUUAUUAAUUUACUAAUUGCGUGA